rnacentral:other from 1 species
AAGGUUCUGCAAUGCUCGUGACGCGGCCUAAAUUGAGCCAACAUCUCAACAUUGGGAGCUUAAGUCUGGGUGUAGAAUAAAUGCCCCGGCAACGGGGACUUGUGAAGCAACCAGCGGGGCACCCACCUAUUGGCAUCAGGGUUCAAUAGGGGAGCCAAAUCACGGCAAAGCGGAACCUUU